AGUGAACGCUGGCGGUAGGCCUAACACAUGCAAGUCGAACGGCAGCACAGUAAGAGCUUGCUCUUACGGGUGGCGAGUGGCGGACGGGUGAGGAAUACAUCGGAAUCUACUUUUUCGUGGGGGAUAACGUAGGGAAACUUACGCUAAUACCGCAUACGACCUACGGGUGAAAGCAGUGGAUCUUCGGACCUUGCGCGAUUGAAUGAGCCGAUGUCGGAUUAGCUAGUUGGCGGGGUAAAGGCCCACCAAGGCGACGAUCCGUAGCUGGUCUGAGAGGAUGAUCAGCCACACUGGAACUGAGACACGGUCCAGACUCCUACGGGAGGCAGCAGUGGGGAAUAUUGGACAAUGGGCGCAAGCCUGAUCCAGCCAUACCGCGUGGGUGAAGAAGGCCUUCGGGUUGUAAAGCCCUUUUGUUGGGAAAGAAAAGCAGCAGGUUAAUACCCCGCUGUUCUGACGGUGCCCAAAGAAUAAGCACCGGCUAACUUCGUG
rnacentral:rRNA from 1 species